rnacentral:rRNA from 1 species
GUGUCAGCCGCCGCGGUAAUACGGAGGAUGCAAGCGUUAUCCGGAAUCAUUGGGCGUAAAGCGUCCGCAGGUGGCAUUUCAAGUCUGCUGUCAAAGGUCGGGGCUUAACUCCGAACAGGCAGUGGAAACUGAGAAGCUAGAGUGCGGUAGGGGCAGAGGGAAUUCCUGGUGUAGCGGUGAAAUGCGUAGAGAUCAGGAAGAACACCGGUGGCGAAAGCGCUCUGCUAGGCCGCAACUGACACUCAGGGACGAAAGCUAGGGGAGCGAAUGGGAUUAGAUACCCCAGUAGUCCUAGCUGUAAACGAUGGAUACUAGGCGUUGCUUGUAUCGACCCAAGCAGUGCCGGAGCUAACGCGUUAAGUAUCCCGCCUGGGGAGUACGCACGCAAGUGUGAAACUUAAAUGAAUUGACGGGG